UAAAGCGCAUGCAGUGUGAUUAGUCAGAUGUGAAAGCCCGGGCUCAACCUCGGAACGCAUUUGAAACUGGUUCACUAGAGUACUGUAGAGGGGGUAGAAUUUCAGGUGUAGCGGUGAAAUGCGUAGAGAUCUGAAGGAAUACCGGUGGCGAAGGCGGCCCCCUGGACAGAUACUGACACUCAGAUGCGAAAGCGUGGGGAGCAAACAGGAUUAGAUACCUGGUAGUCACGCCGUAAACGAUGUCUACUUGGAGGUUGUGGCCUUGAGCCGUGGCUUUCGGAGCUAACGCGUUAAGUAGACCGCCUGGGGAGUACGGUCGCAAGAUUAAAACUCAAAUGAAUUGACGGGGGCCCGCACAAGCGGUGGAGCAUGUGGUUUAAUUCGAUGCAACGCGAAGAACCUUACCUACUCUUGACAUCUACAGAAUCCUGCGGAGACGCGGGAGUGCCUUCGGGAACUGUAAGACAGGUGCUGCAUGGCUGUCGUCAGCUCGUGUUGUGAAAUGUUGGGUUAAGUCCCGCAACGAGCGCAACCCUUAUCCUUGUUUGCCAGCACGUAAUGGUGGGAACUCCAGGGAGACUGCCGGUGAUAAACCGGAGGAAGGUGGGGACGACGUCAAGUCAUCAUGGCCCUUACGAGUAGGGCUACACACGUGCUACAAUGGCGCAUACAGAGGGCAGCAAGCUAGCGAUAGUGAGCGAAUCCCAAAAAGUGCGUCGUAGUCCGGAUUGGAGUCUGCAACUCGACUCCAUGAAGUCGGAAUCGCUAGUAAUCGUAGAUCAGAAUGCUACGGUGAAUACGUUCCCGGGCCUUGUACACACCGCCCGUCACACCAUGGGAGUGGGCUGCAAAAGAAGUGGGUAGUUUAACCUUUC
rnacentral:rRNA from 1 species